rnacentral:rRNA from 1 species
GGGGAACUGAAACAUCUAAGUACCCCGAGGAAAAGAAAUCAACCGAGAUUCCCCCAGUAGCGGCGAGCGAACGGGGAGCAGCCCAGAGCCUGAAUCAGUGUGUGUGUUAGUGGAAGCGUCUGGAAAGGCGCGCGAUACAGGGUGACAGCCCCGUACACAAAAAUGCACAUGCUGUGAGCUCGAUGAGUAGGGCGGGACACGUGGUAUCCUGUCUGAAUAUGGGGGGACCAUCCUCCAAGGCUAAAUACUCCUGACUGACCGAUAGUGAACCAGUACCGUGAGGGAAAGGCGAAAAGAACCCCGGCGAGGGGAGUGAAAAAGAACCUGAAACCGU